GAACUGAAGAGUUUGAUCAUGGCUCAGAUUGAACGCUGGCGGCAGGCCUAACACAUGCAAGUCGAGCGGAUGAAGGGAGCUUGCUCCCUGAUUCAGCGGCGGACGGGUGAGUAAUGCCUAGGAAUCUGCCUGGUAGUGGGGGACAACGUCUCGAAAGGGACGCUAAUACCGCAUACGUCCUACGGGAGAAAGCAGGGGACCUUCGGGCCUUGCGCUAUCAGAUGAGCCUAGGUCGGAUUAGCUAGUUGGUGAGGUAAUGGCUCACCAAGGCUGCGAUCCGUAACUGGUCUGAGAGGAUGAUCAGUCACACUGGAACUGAGACACGGUCCAGACUCC
rnacentral:rRNA from 2 species